UUUUAAACAGAAUGAGACAUCACCUUGGCCUGUUUUCUUGUGAGUGCCAAGUAGGUGUCCGGUAGCCUCGCACUGCACCUGUCCUGACGGAGCUCGGCCCUGGGAGGGAGGACCAGCGGGUUCUGGGGGGCUGAAACGAGGCAGCAUCCCUGGGAAGCCCAGGUUAGGGUAAACGUCUGAAGCUCUGUCCUGGGUGGGGGUCGAGGCUGCUUCUGUGUCAUACUCAGCUCAGGUCAGCAGGCCGGUGACAGGCCCUGCAGCAGGCGAGCUGCGCACUGGCCGACUUCAGAGAGCGGCGUUCCUCCCCGCUGGUGUUCGAGGUUAAAUUAUGACUAGUUUUUACGGUUUCCUCAGGGUUCCUCAGACCAGGCCCAGGAGAUUCCAUGGGGAACAGCUAGGCACUAGGGUGAAUUCUUGAGCGAUCAGGUGGUUACCUGCAGCCAUCGACAGCUGGGGUUUACAGUAAUAGAGCCCCGCGGCUCCUGCACUGCGAUGUGAAGGGCAUGGCUACAGCUCUGACGGGCGGUGGACCCACAUUGUCCUUGCAUUCAGCCCGUCACCAGGAGCCAUCAGCAGUGUUCGCUCAAACCUCACAGAGUUGGGGAGGGACCUUUUCUACAAAGAGGAAGGCACAAAGAGGUGGACGACUACAGCUUGGUGGCCUUGAUGGGGGCUCGGAGAGUGUUGUCUGCCGCCUGCCAGGCUGAGGUGCUUGGGUCCUUGUUAGGCUGCUGGUUCUUGGAAGUGAGACCCUAACGAAGGGAGGAGCCCUUUCUAACCAUGUGAUCAAGCACGUGGGUCACAUGGGGUUUGGCUCUUGAGUUUUUGGGUUUGGGGAGAUAACUGGAAUAAAACUCUUGAGAUGUUUUGAGCUGUGUUUGAGGACUUCAGUCCAGGCCUUUGAAGGAACUGUCUCCUUUCCUGCCCUUGGAUUUCGACUUCCUGGACAGGGAAGGCACUCAUCUCAUGGGCAGUCUUUGCACUGGCCGCCUGUUUGAGCAGAAAGGUGCUUGCAGCCUUCACUGGGGCUCAGGAAACUGCUCAGGAGAGGAGGCAGGCCUCUGGAUUCUUGGACAAACCCUGGGCAGCUGGGCUAGGGGCGCUUCCAAAACAAACCGCAUUUUUAGGGAAGCAACACUGGCCUCUGAGUGGAGCCAGGAAGAGAAAGCGCUGAAAGGGGUGUUGAAGUGAAAGCCCCUUUGUCUCUCAGGACGCCAGAGGCGGGCCUCCCGGGGCCGGGCCUUCCCUCUGGCUCCUGGAGCCCAAGGGGUCUCAGGGGAUCAGGUCCCAGCGCAGAGCAGCGGCCCGAGCCCCUCCCGGGACAGGCUCAUGGGGCGGGCGGCUUCUUCGCCGGCAUCCUGAGGCCUCGGGGUCCCCGUCCGCCCCUGGCGCCGAGCCCAGGCCAGCCCUGAGUGGCCACAGCCGCACCGAGGGCGCUGAGGGGUCUUUCAGGUGCCCGGGUGCUGUGUGAAUCGUACUCUGGCAGGUCACAGAGCAGACUGCUCGUGAGGGUGGCUUUAGUGGCUUUUACCCCUGCUGUGUAACGUCUGAGGGACUGCGAUUCUGUGGAAACAGUGAGUGCUCCGUAGUCAGAGAGCGUGUCCUCUGGAGGGGCGGGGUGGUGACAUCCAGGACAGUCAGCUGACCUGCAGGAUGACCGCACCAGAGGGACAGCCGGUCCCUUUGUCUCCGCAGUCGGGCAGAGUGUCUGCCACACGGGAGGCACUCAGUGUGUUAAAUGCAAACAGACGACGGUGUAUCCGACGUGGUGCUGCUGGGAGGGGAGAAGGCCAGCCCGAGAGGUGCUGAGCACCAGCCAGGGCCCCACACCGCGUGCCUCGCGGCUCCAGGCAUCUCAGGCGGGGGCCUGGGGCCUCGAAGGCAGGCUGGCUGGGUGGGGAGGGCCCGGGUCUCAGGAGUCGCCCAGGGAAAGGCGGGGACUCUGCUGCGAUUUGUUCUUGGGUCGCACCUGGCCAGAGAGAUGCUGCCCUGGGAGACCCUCAGUUCAGAGACCCCAGAAGCGGACAGGCCAGGCCUCCCCUGGGCCAGACAGGCCGCACAGAAUAAGACCACCCCCCCCAAACAUCCCGACUGCACAUGGGCCUAAACGAGACGGAGAGAGGGAGAGGUGGGGGAGAGGGAGCUCUCCAUUCAGGGCCGUGAUGAGCGGGGUCCCUGGAGCUUGAGUUCCCUCGGGUGGUCUUGGGGGCUCCUGAAGUCAGAGCCUGUGAGGCGGGGUGGCACUGACACCUUCCCCUUGGGUGGGAGGGGAGUCAGCUGGUUAAUUCAGGACGGCCCUGCACACCGCAGCGCAGCGCUCUGCACGCCGGCUGCUGGAGGGGUGUGUGCGUCAGGAGUCCCAGCAACGCCGUGUCCUCUGCACUUGGCUGUCUCCGCUUCCUUCAGUUCCUGUCCUUGGGGAGACACUGCCCUCUCAUUGCACAAGAGAUCUGCCCCAGGUCACUCAGCAUCUGGGAGGCAGGGAGGCGCAGCCCCUGGUCCUUGGUCAAGGGCUGCGUUCUCUCAGGGGCCAUGAACAAAGCCGGGAGGCAAGUGGCAGGUUUGGAAGGAGUGCGGGACACCUGGGUCGCAGACAGAAAGCUGAAGGAUUAGUAUUUGCCAGUGUUGAGAACUUCCGCAAAGUGGUACAAGAAGCGACACGUGGACAAUGGUGGACACAGGGUACUGAAGGGACGGUUCCCAGAGCCAGUGCAGGUGUCCAGGAGGUGCUCGCAUGUGCUCAGAAUCAGGAAGUUGAUCAAGUGUCAGUCACAGCGUCAGGACAGCGCUUGACUCACUGGAGGGCAAAGCUUUAAGAAAGAAAGACUGCCCGUGGGGAGGGGGUCACCGUGGGAUGUCUCGGUCUUUCUGAAAACAAUGCGGCGUGGAUGACGACUGGGAACUGGGCAGAACAAGAGGACGCUGGCGGGCGUGGGGCUGGCAGGCCGGGGGAGCCCCAGUCUGGAGGCAGCUGUGGAGGUGAGUGCCUUCAGUGUAGGAGAAGGAGCAUGGGUUGGGGGAGGGAUGCGGCCCAGGGUGUGCAGGGCCCGGAGGUGGGAGGAGGGUGGGUGGCCAGCAGGGUGGGCGAGGGGGUCCCCAGCAGCAGUGAGGGGGUGCUGGGGUGGAGGGCCGCGCUCAGGCUUUCCUUCCAGACUCCUGGGUCUGCCCCAAGCUUAGGCCUUGUUCAGUUUUCUUUGGUUCCCCGUUUGCAGCUGAAGCAGAGAGGGAAGGCCUGGCCUUCAAGGUCAAGGGCCAUUAAUUCUAAAGGAGACACUGAUUCCCUGGCUGAAGCCCUGAGCUGGGAGAGCCUGUCAGCAGAGGGCCUGGCCGAGCCCUGCGACUGGGCAGGCGUCUGCCUGGAGGGAGGCCUGCUAGGCCAUCAGAGGGGGCGUCUGUCUGCAGCUGGAGCCUGCCUGCCGGGCCGGUUUCCUGCUCAGCUGAGGGUUGGCCUCGUCGUGACAGUUAAGAGAGGACUCCAUACCAUCCGAGGGUCACUGGGGUCAGUGGGCUGAGUCUUCCUGGGGAGGGGCCUGUGUGGGACCCAGGGUGACCGCUCCCGCUGACAGUCCCUGGACGGUGCUGUUCGUUUUGUUUUGCUUUGUUUUUUUCCUUUGACUCUUUGAAUUUUAAAAUUAAUUUUGCUGAGACUUAAUUUAUCCUGUCACUUGGAAGGCUCACUUCUGUCCCCAGCUGUGCCCAGUGCAGUUAAAUAAAUGUUGAAAGAACCUGCUGGAACCCUUGCUGAGGUGGGAAAACCACGAAACCUGCUAUGAAAAGAACAUUUGGAACAGUUGGCUGUAUUUUUCUUUACUUAGCAUCCUGCUGAUCAUCAUCAUAAUCCCAAAAGAUGCCUUUGAUUGAAAGACAGCUUUGAGCCCAGCAUUUAUAUCCCACCGAGCCCUCAGGAUGUUCCAGAGCGAUAAAGUUUACAAAGAAACCCAAAUCAAGAAAAAAUGAAAAAUGUCUGCUCAGCAAAGGUGCCUUUGAGGACAAGUCAAGCUGUGGACGGAGGCGUGUCACGGUACACGUGGCUGCAAAGGCUUCAUUCAGAAAAUGUAGAGAACUACAAAUCAGCAGCACAACACAGGCAGUCUAAUGAAGAUAUGGGCAAACGAUGGGAGUGGAAAGUUUGUACACGGAGACCUGCAGAUGGCCAGCGAGCGCCUGGCAAGAUACUCGGCCAUCAGGGAGAUGACACGCGGUGUCAUUUCUCAUGGAAUUGAUGACCAGUGUCUAGAGUCAAACUACAGACAGAAGAUGCCCUCUAGGUUGUGGAGCCUCCUCUGGAACCUCCUCUGGGGUGGGGCAGUAGGGGCUGCCCACCACGGGAAACAAGUGGGCAGUGUCUUAAAAAGUUCAGCCUACGUCUUUCUUAUAGAUCAUUCUCUUGCAAAUUCCGCUUUUAGGUAUUUGCCUAAGUAAAGGGAAUGCGUGUGCACCGAAACAGAAAAAACCCAAAACCCCCAAACAAAAACACUUGUACAAGAACAUUUAACAGCCGCCUCUAUAACAGCCUCAAACUGGCCUCUGACCCAAGUGCCCCCAGUGGAGAGGGAACAAGCUGUGUUGUGCCGGCAGGAUGACAUGGGGUACAGGCGCACACAGCAGCGUGGGUGCAUCUUGAAACCGUAGUGCUGAAAGAGAUCGCCCAGACACGAGAGCCCAUGAUUAUGGUUGCAUUUAUGUGAAGUCCGAGUGCAGACGAAGCUCCGCCGGGGGAUGCAAGUCAGAAAGUGGAGGUGCGUAGCAGGUGGAAUUGACUGGAAGUGAGGAAGGAACUUCUGGGGUGAUGGAUUUUCCUGUCUCGUCUGUGGUUGAUAGUCACAUGGUUGCCCUUAACUGUCAGCACUCUUCAGAGUGAGCACUUAGGAUCUGUGCGUCUGGUUGUAUGUAAAUUGUACCUCAAUACAGUUCUUAAAAAGAAAAGUUAGUUCUGCUCGGGCUGCUGUAGCAGACAACCACACGCUGGAGGACUUAAACAACAGAGGUUAGUGUUCUCACACUUGUGGAGGCUGGGAGUCCAGGACCAGGUGCUGGCAGGGCUGGUUUCUGCUGAGACUGCUCCCCUUGGCUCGCAGACCGUCUUCUCUCCGUGUCCUCACGGGACCUCUUCCCUGUGCAUGUUCCCCUGGUGUCUCCUCCUCUUAAAGGGACACCGUCCUAUUGCAUUAGGGCCCCACCCUAAUGACUUCAUUUAGCCUUAAUUUCUUCCUUCAAGUCCCCGUCUCCACAUACAGUCACCGUGGGGGUUAGGACUUCAGUAUAUGAAUUGGGGGUGGUGGUGCAAAGUUCAGUCCAAAAGAGUUUUAAAAAGAAAAAUAUAGUAACACCUGCCGUGCUGAGUGGUUGGAAGAAGUAAGUGGUAAAAUGAGGUGCAGGUCUGAGCUGGAGCCCCACCCAUGCGGGGGCUGGCCACUGUCCUCCCAGCUAGCUUUUCACUGCCAGGUUUUUUGUUUUGUUACUUGGAGCGUAUGGCCAUGUGGCUUUGACUACACUUUUGGGGACUGUUAACCAGUAACGUGUGUGGGCCCUAGCUCGUACUGAGAUGAAGUGCCUGCGGCAGGGAGGAGCACUUCAUCGAUGAGUUAGCCUCUGCGUGCACUUUGGUUCCAAAGUCUAGUUGCUAAUAAAGGGCAUUGUCCCCAGUCAUAGACGAGAGGAAGGGUGGUAGCCCAGGCAUGCUUGGUCUGGGAACUUCUGGCUCUCACGCCUGGAAACAAAAGGCAAAAGCGUUGUUAAAACCUGAGAUUGUGAUCUAUGGAAAAAUUUGGAUAUUUAAGGAAAAAUAAAGCGGAUAGAGUUAUAAUUUUGUCCUGCUCCAGAUGUGCAUAUUCAACAACCUAAUUGAGGGAAAAGCUUCUCUUGCUCUGUUCACAAGGCAGAAAAACAGGAUUUUCAAGAGGCUAUUUCUUUUUAACUGACUUUAUCAAGGUGUAGUUUACAUGCAGUGCUCAUUUCAAGUGUGCAGGCGAUGUGUUGACAGAUACAGGCAUCCAUGUGACUUCUGUCACAUACAAGGCAUUGGACAUUUCCCUUCCCCUCAGACCCAAAACACGCCCUCCUGUUCCUUUGCAGCCAGGCCUCCCCGCCCGCAGCCUCUGACCUCUGUGGAACGUAGCAUAGUUCUGCUGUUCUAGCAUCUCAUACAAAUGAGAUCGUAGCCUUUUGCAUCUGGCGUAUUUUGCUGAGAGAGUGUUUUUAAUAUUCAACCAUGAUACAGUCAUUAAUCAGUACAGUACAUUCUUUUUUACUAAUCAGUGGUUCAGCGAUCAAUAGCUGGUUCUUUUCUGUUGCUGAGCACUAUGUCAUUUUAUGGAUAUAUCAGUUUUUAUUUUAAUGUCUAAUUAAAAAAAUGUUUGUUGGGUGA